CUGGUUUUGCUCCCAUGUUUCACGUACGUACAUGCAUCAUGUGAAGAAGAAAGAUGGAACAUUAAAAUGGAGAGGACACAACA
rnacentral:ribozyme from 1 species